rnacentral:rRNA from 1 species
UACGGAGGGUGCGAACGUUAAUCGGAAUUACUGGGCGUAAAGAGCAUGUAGGCGGAGUGGAAAGUUAGAUGUGAAAGCCCGGGGCUCAACUCCGGAUCCGCAUCUAAAACUACCAUUCUGGAGGAUGGACGGAGAAAAGGGAAUUCCACGUGUAGCGGUGAAAUGCGUAGAUAUGUGGAAGAACACCGGUGGCGAAGGCGCUUUUCUAGUUUAUUCCUGACGCUGAGAUGCGAAAGCAAGGGGAGCAAACAGG